GAUCAUGGCUCAGGAUGAACGCUGGCGGCGUGCUUAACACAUGCAAGUCGAGCGAAGCGAUUUAAGUGAAGUUUUCGGAUGGAUCUUAGAUUGACUGAGCGGCGGACGGGUGAGUAACGCGUGGAUAACCUGCCUCACACAGGGGGAUAACAGUUAGAAAUGACUGCUAAUACCGUAUAAGCGCACGGUCUCGCAUGGGACAGUGUGAAAAACUCCGGUGGU
rnacentral:rRNA from 1 species